AUUGAACGCUGGCGGCAGGCCUAACACAUGCAAGUCGAACGGCAGCACAGAAGAGCUUGCUCUUUGGGUGGCGAGUGGCGGACGGGUGAGUAAUGCCUGGGAAACUGCCCGAUGGAGGGGGAUAACUACUGGAAACGGUAGCUAAUACCGCAUAACGUCGCGAGACCAAAGUGGGGGACCUUCGGGCCUCACACCAUCGGAUGUGCCCAGAUGGGAUUAGCUAGUAGGUGGGGUAAUGGCUCACCUAGGCGACGAUCCCUAGCUGGUCUGAGAGGAUGACCAGCCACACUGGAACUGAGACACGGUCCAGACUCCUACGGGAGGCAGCAGUGGGGAAUAUUGCACAAUGGGCGCAAGCCUGAUGCAGCCAUGCCGCGUGUAUGAAGAAGGCCUUCGGGUUGUAAAGUACUUUCAGCGGGGAGGAAGGCGGUGAGGUUAAUAACCUCGCCGAUUGACGUUACCCGCAGAAGAAGCACCGGCUAACUCCGUGCCAGCCGCCGCGGUAA
rnacentral:rRNA from 1 species